rnacentral:rRNA from 1 species
CUACGCACUCCUACGGGAGGCAGCAGUGGGGAAUAUUGCACAAUGGGCGCAAGCCUGAUGCAGCCAUGUCCGCGUGUAUGAAGAAGGCCUUCGGGUUGUAAAGUACUUUCAGCAGUGAGGAAGGUGGGUAUGUUAAUAGCAUACUCAUUUGACGUUAGCUGCAGAAGAAGCACCGGCUAACUCCGUGCCAGCAGCCGCGGUAAUACGGAGGGUGCGAGCGUUAAUCGGAAUUACUGGGCGUAAAGCGCAUGCAGGUGGUUUGUUAAGUCAGAUGUGAAAGCCCGGGGCUCAACCUCGGAAUUGCAUUUGAAACUGGCAAACUAGAGUACUGUAGAGGGGGGUAGAAUUUCAGGUGUAGCGGUGAAAUGCGUAGAGAUCUGAAGGAAUACCGGUGGCGAAGGCGGCCCCCCUGGACAGAUACUGACACUCAGAUGCGAAAGCGUGGGGAGCAAACAGGAUUAGAUACCCUGGUAG